CAUCGGGAGCUACCAUGCAGUCGACGGUCUCUUCGGAGAUAGUGGCGGACGGGUGAGUAACGCGUGAGAAUCUAGCUUCAGGUCGGGGACAACCACUGGAAACGGUGGCUAAUACCGGAUGUGCCGAAAGGUGAAAGAUUUAUUGCCUGAAGAUGAGCUCGCGUCUGAUUAGCUAGUUGGUGUGGUAAGAGCGCACCAAGGCGACGAUCAGUAGCUGGUCUGAGAGGAUGAUCAGCCACACUGGGACUGAGACACGGCCCAGACUCCUACGGGAGGCAGCAGUGGGGAAUUUUCCGCAAUGGGCGAAAGCCUGACGGAGCAAUACCGCGUGAGGGAGGAAGGCUCUUGGGUUGUAAACCUCUUUUCUCAGGGAAUAAAAAAAUGAAGGUACCUGAGGAAUAAGCAUCGGCUAACUCCGUGCCAGCAGCCGCGGUAAUACGGAGGAUGCAAGCGUUAUCCGGAAUGAUUGGGCGUAAAGCGUCCGCAGGUGGCACUGUAAGUCUGCUGUUAAAGAGCAAGGCUCAACCUUGUAAAGGCAGUGGAAACUACAGAGCUAGAGUACGUUCGGGGCAGAGGGAAUUCCUGGUGUAGCGGUGAAUUGGCGUAGAAAUA
rnacentral:rRNA from 1 species